rnacentral:rRNA from 1 species
GAUGAACGCUGCGGCGUGCUCAACACAUGCAAGUCGAACGAAGCGCUUAAGAUUGAUUCUUCGGAUGAUUUCUUUUGCGACUUAGUGGCGGACGGGUGAGUAACGCGUGGGUAACCUGCCUCACACAGGGGGAUAACAGUUAGAAAUGACUGCUAAUACCGCAUAACCCGAUAGGAUCGCAUGAUCCAGACGGAAAAGAUUUAUCGGUGUGAGAUGGACCCGCGUCUGAUUAGCUAGUUGGUGAGGUAACGGCCCACCAAGGCGACGAUCAGUAGCCGGCCUGAGAGGGUGAACGGCCACAUUGGGACUGAGACACGGCCCAAACUCCUACGGGAGGCAGCAGUGGGGAAUAUUGCACAAUGGGGGAAACCCUGAUGCAGCGACGCCGCGUGAGUGAAGAAGUAUUUCGGUAUGUAAAGCUCUAUCAGCAGGGAAGAAAAUGACGGUACCUGACUAAGAAGCCCCGGCUAACUACGUGCCAGCAGCCGCGGUAA